GAUGAACGCUGGCGGCGUGCCUAAUACAUGCAAGUCGAGCGAACAGACGAGGAGCUUGCUCCUCUGACGUUAGCGGCGGACGGGUGAGUAACACGUGGAUAACCUACCUAUAAGACUGGGAUAACUUCGGGAAACCGGAGCUAAUACCGGAUAUAUAUUGAACCGCAUGGUUCAAUAGUGAAAGACGGUUUUGCUGUCACUUAUAGAUGGAUCCGCGCCGCAUUAGCUAGUUGGUAAGGUAACGGCUUACCAAGGCAACGAUGCGUAGCCGACCUGAGAGGGUGAUCGGCCACACUGGAACUGAGACACGGUCCAGACUCCUACGGGAGGCAGCAGUAGGGAAUCUUCCGCAAUGGGCGAAAGCCUGACGGAGCAACGCCGCGUGAGUGAUGAAGGUCUUCGGAUCGUAGAACUCUGUUAUUAGGGAAGAACAAAUGUGUAAGUAACUAUGCACGUCUUGACGGUACCUAAUCAGAAAGCCACGGCUAACUACGUG
rnacentral:rRNA from 1 species